rnacentral:rRNA from 1 species
UACGAAGGGGGCUAGCGUUGCUCGGAAUCACUGGGCGUAAAGGGUGCGUAGGCGGGUCUUUUAAGUCAGGGGUGAAAUCCUGGAGCUCAACUCCAGAACUGCCUUUGAUACUGAGGAUCUUGAGUCCGGGAGAGGUGAGUGGAACUGCGAGUGUAGAGGUGAAAUUCGUAGAUAUUCGCAAGAACACCAGUGGCGAAGGCGGCUCACUGGCCCGAUACUGACGCUGAGGCACGAAAGCGUGGGGAGCAAACAGGG